rnacentral:rRNA from 1 species
AAAAAUAUAAGUAUAUAAAGUAAUAAUAAGGAAUUAUAAGGGAUGACAUGCCAUAAUAUAAAAAUGGAAUAAAAUAUAAAACUUUGAGAAUAAAUAAAAAUUCAAAGGAAUCCAAAGCGAAAGCAAAAAUUAUAAAAACUGGUGGAACUGAAACAUCUAAAUACACCAAGGAAAAAAAAUCAACCGAGAUAUUUAAAGUAGUGGCGAGCGAAAUAAAUAAAGCCUAUAAAAAAUACGAAUGUAUUUCAAUUAUAAAAAUUAGAUAAAUAUAUACCAAAGAAGGUUAAGUCCCAAAUAAAUUAAAAAAAGUCAUUUAUGACUGAAAAGUAAAAUAAGUAAAAACUUGUUUGAAUAAAGGGGAACCAUCCUCUAAGGCUAAAUAUGAUAUUAUGAGCGAUAGUGAACAAGUACUGUGAAGGAAAGUUGAAAAGUAAGUAGAUUACUGGUGAAAAGAAUCCUGAAUUUAUAAUUUUAAAAGUAGUUAAAGGAAAUCUAAUAACUUACCUUUUGCAUAAUGGGUCAGCAAGUUAAGAUAAAUAGCAAGAAUAUUAUUCAAAGUAAAUACAUAUAAAGUUACUUAUCUUAGACCCGAAACCUAGUGAUCUUACUAUUAUCAAGUUAUAGGACUGAACGGUAGGCUGUAGCAAUAGUCACCGAUGAAUAAUGGUAAGGAGUGAAAGGCUAAUCGUACUAGGAAAUAGCUGGUAUUCUGCGAAAACUAUUGAGGUAGUACUAUCUAAAAAAAUAUAUAUCUUUUAUUUAAAAAAGCAAUGGAUAUCAUACGAAAUAAAAAAACGUUUAAUUGGGGAAUAUAAAUUAUUUUAUCAUUGAGAUCUAAACUAGAUAUAGAAUAAAAGCAUUUUUAAUUUAGAUAAGUCAGAUAUAUUGUGCUAAGAUAAUAUAUCAAAAGGGAAAAAGCCCUAAAGUUGAAUUAAGGUCCCGAAUUUAUGAGUUAGUGAAUUAAAAAUAGUCAUGGUCAAAAACCAAUCUCAUUUGUUGGCCUAGAAGCAGUCAUCUAAUAAAGAAAGCGUAACAGCUCAAAGGUUUAAUAUCAUGGCAUUUAAAAUGUAACGGGUCUAAAACUCAUAAACCGAAAUUAAGAAAAAAGGUAGCAGAACAAACAUUAUAUGAAGUAUAUAAAUGUAGAGAUAAUGCUGAUAUGAGUAACGUAAGGGAUAAAAUCCCCGCUGAAAAAUGAAGGUAAUAAAAAAAAACGGCCUCUAAGAAAUAUCAAUAAGAAAAUUCGAUGGGAAGCAAAUUGUAUAUGUAAAAUUAUCGACCACGAUCACUGUAUACAUGGUGGUUAUUUUACCAGGAAAAUAUUUAUUAAACCGUACCAUAAUCCGACUCAGGUAUUUAGGUAGAGUAUACUAAAGCGAUUGAGAUAAUAAUUCUGAAGGAACUAGGCAAAAUAACUCUGUAACUUAGGGAUAAAGAGGCCAAAUUAAUGGGUCACAUAAGAGUAGAGAGCAACUGUUUACUAAAAACACAGGACUUUGCCAAGUUGAAAAACUAAGUAUAGAGUCUGAAAUCUGCCCGGUGCUAGUAGCAUAGUAUAAAAAGUUUAAAUAUCGGUUUUUUAUAUAUAAACACUGGUUAACGGCGGUUGUACCGAUGACAAUCCUAAGGUAGCGAAAUUCCUAGUCAUUUAAUUGGUGACGUGCAUGAAUGAUCCAAUGAAUUCUCUUACUGUCUCCAAAAUUAACUCAGUGAAAUUACAUUAUCCGUGCAAAUGCGGAUUACCAUUAGCUAGACGGGAAGACCCUUUGAAGCUUUACUGUAGAUUAAUAUAAUUAAUAAUAAUAAAAUAAUUGGUUUAUAGUUAAUCAUUUCCACAAUUUUAUUGUUACAUAAAAACAAAUAAUAUUUGUGAUGUUAAUUAGACAGUUUAUCUGGGGCGGAGGCCUCACAAAUAGUAACUGAGGUGUUCGAAGCUCAAUAAAGUUUAUAAUAUGAACUUAUAAAGUAUAAUGGCUAAAAUUGGGUUAACAGAUAGAAUGACCAUUCGAUCUGAGGCAUACGCCGGACAUAGUGAUCCGCAUAUCCGUUAUGGAACGAUAUGCGCAUAUCGAAACAAGUUACUCAAGGGAUAACAGGCUGAUGAGUCCCGAUAGUACUUAUUGACGGACUCGUUUGGCACCUCGAUGUCGACUCAUCUCAUCCUGGAGCUGUAUAAGGUUCCAAGGGUCGCUCUGUUCGAGCCAUAAAGAGGUACGUGAGUUGGGUUUAAUACGACGUGAGUCAGUAUGGACCCUAUCUACUAAUGGUGUAAGAAUUAAGAAAGAAAUCUGAUUUCAGUACGAGAGGAUCAACUUAUUGGUUUUACCUCUGGUUUGUCACCCGGUAAAGUUAAUAAUGUUGCCGCAGGUGGAAAGCUAAGUAAAAAAAGGAUAACCAUUGAAAAUAUAUGAAAUGGGAAACCUAUUCUUAAGAAAAUUCUUAAAAAGAUAGGCGAAAUAUUAUCGCUUAAAGGUUAUACUGUAAAAAAAUAGAGAUAUUAAAGCAAGAUAAAAACUUAUAAAUUCAAGAAACUUUUAUUU